rnacentral:rRNA from 1 species
UACGUAGGGGGCAAGCGUUGUCCGGAAUUAUUGGGCGUAAAGAGCUCGUAGGCGGUUUGUUGCGUCGGCUGUGAAAUCCCGAGGCUCAACCUCGGGUCUGCAGUCGAUACGAGCAAACUAGAGUGUUGCAGGGGAGACUGGAAUUCCUGGUGUAGCGGUGAAAUGUGCAGAUAUCAGGAGGAACACCGGUGGCGAAGGCGGGUCUCUGGGCCGAUACUGACGCUGAGGAGCGAAAGCCGUGGGGAGCGAACAGG